rnacentral:misc_RNA from 1 species
UUUUAUAUCACCAGCAAAAGAUGUUCUUGGAUAUAGAAUCCAACAAUACAGAAGCAGACAAAAAUUGGAAUAUAAUAUUCUACAAUCCGCUCAAACCUAUUGAAUUGGAUAGGAGAUGUCUAAAUGUUUCAAGGAGCAUAACGAUGUUGAAGGUCUCAAAUAGUCGUAGGAGAUGUUUGAAUGUUUCAAGGAUCAUAACAAUGUUGAAGGAUUAAAAUGGUUGAGCUUACAUUAGGUGCACCAGGA